AUAGUGAGGCACUCUGGUCCACAGGUGCUGAAUCCACAGUGGAGUCUCACAUCCUCACGUCUUUAUCAUGAUCUCCGUGGUCUUCAUAUUUUGUUUUCUUCAUAUGCCAGGAAAUGAGGGAGCUUCUGACGCCAGGCGCGUCGUCCAAACGCCUCCGUUCAUCACCAGGAGAACGGGGGAAUCUGUUGACAGCGAGAUCAACUGUUCCCACAGCAUCACAAACUAUGAUCUCAUUCUCUGGUACAAACAAGAGAAACACAAUUUAGAGCUUCUGGGGUACAUAAAUGUGGACUUCCCGUACCCCGAGGACGACGUGAGAGGAAAAAUCAGCUUCAAGGGCAAUGGCCGUAAACAUUCAGACCUCCAGGUCUCUGAUCUGGUGUUGAACGACAGUGGUGUGUACUUCUGUGCUGCCAGUCGGCACAGUGCUGCAGAGUCGACUCGAGUCAAGACAAAAACCUUUUCGAGUCGACAGACAGGAUGUUCAGCCACCUGAACACCUGCAGUCAGCCUCCAU